rnacentral:lncRNA from 1 species
GUACAAUUUGGAAAUUAGUAUGGCGUUCAUUAUCACUGAACUAGUAUAUAUUUGUUUAAGGGCCAGCUGAAGGACGCCUCCGGGUGCGGGAAUUUUUCGCUACAUUGAAGACCUGUUGGUGACCUUCUGCUGUUGUUUUUUUCUAUGGUCGGGUUGUUGUCUCUUUGGCACAUUCCCCAUUUCCAUUCUCAAUUUUAUGAU